GCUAACGUUAGCAGCCAACGCCACAAGCAAAUGUGGAUAGAGUCGGGCUUAAUGGAGCCUCGCCAAACUUUCACCCCACAUUAAGUAGAUUUUUGGCGGCCUCCAGACCGCUUUACCGGCUGUCCUCCCUGACUCUCACAAUUUCAGGAGAGGGUGCUUUCAGUGCUUUCUACUGGUAGCCAGGCCACAGGCUAAUAAUGCUAGUGGCUAGCGCUACAAAUGAACGAGAUGGAGUCAGAUACUGGCUCUAACCUUGUCAAACUGGCUGAACUUCAUGAGCGGAUUGGGCAAGGACUGCAUAUAGCCAUCAAACCAUCAACAUUAUCAUCCGGAGUGCUGACACUGAAGAAGUGAUAUGAUCAUAUUGCUCUUAUUGGCAAAGCAGACAGGAACGCGGGCGGUUGGGGUCUCGCUCUCACAGGAGAGAGUGAAGGCUGCCAUGUUCCAGCAAGGAAAAGCGCGAUUCUUUUCCCAGCGGACCGACGCCGUUCUUCCGCCAGGUGAUUGUGGGCUGCGGGUCCCCUGAAGCUUGACACCUGAGUACCGUCACGCUCCCUAAAGGCUGGGUUUGGUUGAAGGGGCCCUGACGGAUGAUUGGCGGCGGUCGGUCCUUCAGGGCUGAGGAUAAACCAUAAGGAAUAUAUUUUUUAUGGCAUCAAAUGAUAACUUGCAAGUCUGUUUAAUAGCAAGAUGUCGCCCUUUUCUGCCAGAAAAACACACAACCUUAUCAAAAGGUGCUAAUUAGCGAUUGCCAUAAUUGCCGUUCCAAUAUGUCAAAACUCAAUCUGAUGAGAGACGGUGCUUGUGUUGGUACGGCAUUGUGCUCGUGGCACUGAAUCACACCUUCACUUUUAAUUACUCGGUGAGGAUUAAUGAUGCUUAACCCGUGGUGUUAAUUACCCUAGCUUCUUCAACACAUCCGUAUGCCCGAUAGUUGUUGCCGACAAUUUUGCUUUCCCCUCGUGGCGUAUUUCUCUGUUCCACCAAAACAAAUGAAACUCUUAAAUUAGCAUGGCAAGGAGGACAACAACACGACGCUUUAAAAGCUUUUUAAAGUGUGUUAUAUCAUCCAGAAAACAGCUUUUGCACUCUGCAACAGUCAUUUGUGGAGUGUCGGAUCUCUCCGGGCCUCGUAACAACUCCCCUGCUUCCAAUUUUCUCACUCCCGCUAUCGUGUCGGAUUGCGACGCUUUCCCUUUAAUCUGCAAAAUGGUGCAAACUGAAAUAAAAAUAGAAAAUGUAUAGACAAGUUUCCUGAGCGAAUAUUAGGCGGCGCCAUCUUUGACAUUUUCUGCUACGGACAUCCGGUUCAGACAGAACACCGUGGAUUGCGGUUAAAGUAGACAAAGGUUAAACUUCCAAAUCAAACCAGAGGAACCCACGGAAUCUCCAAAAAUGGAUUCAGCUCAACGUAGAUGAGACCCCGGGAUUUUCUGUGCUGUGCGUGGACUCCUGGAAGCGCCUAUGCUGUAUGCUCAGAAGUGGAAUGUUUUGAACAGCGUCCAGCUUCAAAAUACCAGUGUGGAUCUACCUCGCCAUACGCCUUCAAUCGAAACCAGCAGCAGACAAAAAGAUGUGCUGUAAACCUAAAGAUCCACCGAAAAGAUUGCAUGUUUGUUCUUAUCACUUCGGUGAUCGUUCUUGGACAAAAUUCGAACAAUCUGUGGAGCCUUUGUUACGCCUGCCACUUGAGUGACCAAUAUGAGGCGAUAUUACAGUUGCCGAAUGCAAAAUGGCUGACACGGAUUAUGUUGUUACAAGGAAAUACGAUAAGGUAAUUUCAUCUGGUUAUACUUACGGUAUUAGGAGUUCAUCGCAUGUGUGUGUGUUCAUGUAUAUAUAAACACCAAAUAGUACGUCAUUCUUUUUUAUUGCACAUACUGAACACAAUAAAGCCAUUUCUUGUUUUAUUUCAAAACAAUUGGUGGAUGUGCAAGCAGGUCAAUACAUCACAAUUUUUAAAAGAUUAAUGAAGGUGGAGCAUAAAUCCAGCCUUUCAUAAUCAAGGUAAAAUGCAAAUAGUCUAUAGGUCCAUCAACGUAAGUGCGUUUUCCACCUGUACACAAACGAACAAAAAAGUGUUAAUACUUGAAUUUAUGUAUUUAGGGUAAAAAGCCUGUGAAUGACUUGUCGUAGAUGACCAUCCAUUUCUUUAUCGUCAAAGCUAAUGCAACGCUAAUGAUGUCUCAGCUGUGACGCAACACACAGAAUAGUGUACCGCACGUAACACGUCACCUUCGCUAAUUAAUAUUCAUGAUGUUGCUAGGGUUGUCAAACUCGCAUUUGUCCUUCGCAUGUAAAUAGUGUACGAAGGAAAUGUUUACUGAGCUAAACCUACCAAUUCUGUCCAAGAUGAUGUCCCUGCUGCCAAAUUCACUAGUAAAGAUGUGAAAGAACAUACAAAUGUUCAGUUAAAGAGAUGGCUUGAGUGUGAGGGCUGAAAAAGUGCCGACCUGAUCCAGAGGUAGCUUUUUUAUCGCUACCUUUUUCUUGUUUGUAUUGCUUUAUGCCACUGACAAUGACAUUCUCCUGUUUCAACAAGCUAUCCUUUACCCCCAUAUACCCUGGCUUUCUUAUAUAUUAUAUCCUCUGGUUGUCUUACGUCUCUGACUGUUCUUGGUGGUCAUUUAUAUUGCUAUUUUUGUGUAGCGAUCGCAAAUGCUACUCAAUGACAGCCAACGAACACGUUUCUUUUUUUUCCAUUAAUAAAAAAUCUUAAUUCAUAAUAAAAAAUCUUAAUUUUAUUCAUCUAUUUACACUUCCCCCUUACUAAGGUUGUUUCUUUACAACAGAAAAGCUGUUCAAUCUAGAGCCUACCUGUAGGCUUGAACAGGUUUACUACAAAAAGACCAAGGCCUAUCGAAAUAUCCGUAUUUUAGAAAAAUAGGCCAACAUGAUUGUUAUGAUAUAUAAAUAAAACUUUCAUUUUUUUUCUUCAGGUCAUUCAUUGUCAGACAGAAGCAGCACGGCAAAACAUCACGCUAAAAAAUAAGUAAAAACAUCAAAAUGGCUUACCUCUUCAGGGCAGGCAAUGGAUCAGGAUUGUCAUCUGUAGGACCAUUGCCUCCAUGUUGCGGAUUACACUUUUGUUUAGGAAUAAUUUUUAAAUGUUUACUGCAUAUGAAGGUGAAUGGCUUCACCUUGCUGGCGUUAAACUGUUGUUUUGGACCUCCGCACAAGUUAAUCCAUUGUUCAUAUUUUUUGGGCUUCAGGAAACGUAUGAAGACAACAUCCUUAAUAUGUGGUCGUGGACGGUUUCUACUAGUUCAAUAGCAGCAGUGUUUACUUGGCAAGUUCUUUUUUGAAAGAUUACCGGCAGAAAACAAGCAGCAAUAGCAUGGGUUGUAUGCCAGCGCGCUUCUAUAUUGACCCCCUUCGGGUUCACGAUGGUGAUGUCACGCAGCGGUCUAAAACUAGCAUUUGUGCGGUAUGCUAUUGUAGUCAAAUUAACCAUAAAAAUGUACCUGUUAUUGCUGUGUGGUGGCACUGUCUUGGUUCCACAUCUGGCUUCAUGAACACAAAAUUCCCAUAUUCAUGUAUUAGGACACAUGAUUCAGCUGGAUGUUGCGGCGAUGUUUAGGUCCCUGAUUCAGUUGCAGAAUUAAAAUACUAAAACUAUUUUUUUAUGUGGUGACUCUUAGUCAUUUCUUCAUGUUGUCCUCCCAUAUCGUGAUGAUGGCAGAUGGAUGCGGCAUU